rnacentral:rRNA from 1 species
UGGGGAAUUUUGGACAAUGGGCGAAAGCCUGAUCCAGCAAUGCCGCGUGUGUGAAGAAGGCCUUCGGGUUGUAAAGCACUUUUGUCCGGAAAGAAAUCCUUGGCUCUAAUACAGUCGGGGGAUGACGGUACCGGAAGAAUAAGCACCGGCUAACUACGUGCCAGCAGCCGCGGUAAUACGUAGGGUGCAAGCGUUAAUCGGAAUUACUGGGCGUAAAGCGUGCGCAGGCGGUUUGCUAAGACCGAUGUGAAAUCCCCGGGCUCAACCUGGGAACUGCAUUGGUGACUGGCAGGCUAGAGUAUGGCAGAGGGGGGUUAGAAUUCCACGUGUAGCAGUGAAAUGCGUAGAGAUGUGGAGGAAUACCGAUGGCGAAGGCAGCCCCCUGGGCCAAUACUGACGCUCAUGCACGAAAGCGUGGGGAGCAAACAGGAUUAGAUACCCUGGUAGUCCACGCCCUAAACGAUGUCAACUGUUGUUGGGGACUUCAUUUCCUUAGUAACGUAGCUAACGCGUGAAGUUGACCGCCUGGGGAGUACGGUCGCAAGAUUAAACUCAA